ensembl:lncRNA novel transcript
GCAAUCUGCACAAUCUAGCGACACUGUUUCACGCGGUCAGUGUCUACUUUAUUGGAAAGUCUCACUGAUUCUGAAUGUGAAUGAUGGAACAGCCACACUGGAGGGUCACUUUUCAACUUUUCAGGUUUAUGGAUAUGCUGCCUCUUCUGCUAAACUGUAAAUCUUUGAAGACCAGGAGCCACGUCUUACUUAUUUGUGAAUUUCCAUAACAUCUAGUAGAGUGUUUUCCACCUAAUUGGGCGCAAUAAAUGUUUAUUGAAAAAAUAAAGAAGGCUAUGGGGAACUUUCGUCCUUUAUGUUAAAAACAGCCUGAAAUAUGAAGUUCAGUCUGAGAAAAAGCAAUUCUAGUUCUUCUCACUGAGGGAAAAGAAGAAAAAUCUGUCUGAUUCAACAACAAUUAAGUGGCACUGCUUACAUCACGAACUAAGAAGAUUUCGAAAGUAUUCUUCUGAAACAAGGAAUUAUCACAAAGAAAAUGUUCAUCUCAAAAGUGUAGAGUGAUCCUAAAACAUUUAACUGAAAAAUCUUGUUCCCUGUUAUUUAUGCUGUCGGGAUGUCUGGGUAGCAUGGAUUGGUAUUUGAGUCA